rnacentral:rRNA from 1 species
GACGAACGCUGGCGGCGUGCCUAACACAUGCAAGUCGAGCGAUGAAGUUCUUCGGAACGGAUUAGCGGCGGACGGGUGAGUAACGCGUGAGCAAUCUGCCUUACACAAAGGGAUAGCCUCGGGAAACUGGGAUUAAUACCAUAUGACACUUGGUAAUCGCAUGAGGACCAAGUCAAAGAUUUUAUCGGUGUAAGAUGAGCUCGCGUCUGAUUAGCUAGUUGGUGGGGUAAAGGCCUACCAAGGCGACGAUCAGUAGCCGGCCUGAGAGGGUGAACGGCCACACUGGAACUGAGACACGGUCCAGACUCCUACGGGAGGCAGCAGUGGGGAAUAUUGCACAAUGGGCGCAAGCCUGAUGCAGCGACGCCGCGUGAGCGAAGAAGGUUUUCGGAUCGUAAAGCUCUGUCCUCUGGGAAGAAAAAAAUGACGGUACCAGAGGAGGAAGCCCGGCUAACUACGUG